rnacentral:rRNA from 1 species
GACGAACGCUGGCGGCGUGCUUAACACAUGCAAGUCGAACGGAAAGGCCCUGCUUUUGUGGGGUGCUCGAGUGGCGAACGGGUGAGUAACACGUGAGUAACCUGCCCUUGACUUUGGGAUAACUUCAGGAAACUGGGGCUAAUACCGGAUAGGAGCUCCUGCUGCAUGGUGGGGGUUGGAAAGUUUCGGCGGUUGGGGAUGGACUCGCGGCUUAUCAGCUUGUUGGUGGGGUAGUGGCUUACCAAGGCUUUGACGGGUAGCCGGCCUGAGAGGGUGACCGGCCACAUUGGGACUGAGGUACGGCCCAGACUCCUACGGGAGGCAGCAGUGGGGAAUAUUGCACAAUGGGCGGAAGCCUGAUGCAGCAACGCCGCGUGCGGGAUGACGGCCUUCGGGUUGUAAACCGCUUUCGCCUGAGACGAAGCGUGAGUGACGGGAAUGGGUAAAGAAGCACCGGCUAACUACGU